rnacentral:rRNA from 1 species
AUAAUGGGUCAGCGACUUAUAUUCUGUAGCAAGGUUAACCGAAUAGGGGAGCCGAAGGGAAACCGAGUCUUAACUGGGCGUUAAGUUGCAGGGUAUAGACCCGAAACCCGGUGAUCUAGCCAUGGGCAGGUUGAAGGUUGGGUAACACUAACUGGAGGACCGAACCGACUAAUGUUGAAAAAUUAGCGGAUGACUUGUGGCUGGGGGUGAAAGGCCAAUCAAACCGGGAGAUAGCUGGUUCUCCCCGAAAGCUAUUUAGGUAGCGCCUCGUGAAUUCAUCUCCGGGGGUAGAGCACUGUUUCGGCAAGGGGGUCAUCCCGACUUACCAACCCGAUGCAAACUGCGAAUACCGGAGAAUGUUAUCACGGGAGACACACGGCGGGUGCUAACGUCCGUCGUGAAGAGGGAAACAACCCAGACCGCCAGCUAAGGUCCCAAAGUCAUGGUUAAGUGGGAAACGAUGUGGGAAGGCCCAGACAGCCAGGAUGUUGGCUUAGAAGCAGCCAUCAUUUAAAGAAAGCGUAAUAGCUCACUGGUCGAGUCGGCCUGCGCGGAAGAUGUAACGGGGCUAAACCAUGCACCGAAGCUGCGGCAGCGACGCUUAUGCGUUGUUGGGUAGGGGAGCGUUCUGUAAGCCUGUGAAGGUGUGCUGUGAGGCAUGCUGGAGGUAUCAGAAGUGCGAAUGCUGACAUAAGUAACGAUAAAGCGGGUGAAAAGCCCGCUCGCCGGAAGACCAAGGGUUCCUGUCCAACGUUAAUCGGGGCAGGGUGAGUCGACCCCUAAGGCGAGGCCGAAAGGCGUAGUCGAUGGGAAACAGGUUAAUAUUCCUGUACUUGGUGUUACUGCGAAGGGGGGACGGAGAAGGCUAUGUUGGCCGGGCGACGGUUGUCCCGGUUUAAGCGUGUAGGCUGGUUUUCCAGGCAAAUCCGGAAAAUCAAGGCUGAGGCGUGAUGACGAGGCACUACGGUGCUGAAGCAACAAAUGCCCUGCUUCCAGGAAAAGCCUCUAAGCAUCAGGUAACAUCAAAUCGUACCCCAAACCGACACAGGUGGUCAGGUAGAGAAUACCAAGGCGCUUGAGAGAACUCGGGUGAAGGAACUAGGCAAAAUGGUGCCGUAACUUCGGGAGAAGGCACGCUGAUACGUAGGUGAAGUCCCUCGCGGAUGGAGCUGAAAUCAGUCGAAGAUACCAGCUGGCUGCAACUGUUUAUUAAAAACACAGCACUGUGCAAACACGAAAGUGGACGUAUACGGUGUGACGCCUGCCCGGUGCCGGAAGGUUAAUUGA